rnacentral:rRNA from 1 species
GAUGAACGCUGGCGGCGUGCCUAAUACAUGCAAGUCGAGCGAACAGACGAGGAGCUUGCUCCUCUGACGUUAGCGGCGGACGUGUGAGUAACACGUGGAUAACCUACCUAUAAGACUGGGCUAACUUCGGGAAACCGGAGCUAAUACCGGAUCAUAUAUUGAACCGCAUGGUUCAAUCGUGAACGACGGUUUUGCUGUCACUUAUAGAUGGAUCCGCGCCGCAUUAGCUAGUUGGUCAGGUAACGGCGUACCAAGGCAACGAUGCGUAGCCGACCUGAGAGGGUGAUCGGCCACACUAGAACUGAGACACGGUCCAGACUCCUACGGGAGGCAGCAGUAGGGAAUCUUCCGCAAUGGGCGAAAGCUUGACGGAGCAACGCCGCGUGAGUGAUGAAGGUCUUCGGAUCGGAAAACUCUGUUAUGAGGGAAGAACAAAUGUGUAAGUAACUAGGCACGUCUUGACGGUACCUAAUCAGAAAGCCACGGCUAACUACGUG